GAUGAACGCUGGCGGCGUGGCUAAUACAUGCAAGUCGAGCGAACAGACGAGGAGCUUGCUCCUCUGACGUUAGCGGCGGACGGGUGAGUAACACGUGGAUAACCUACCUAUAAGACUGGGAUAACUUCGGGAAACCGGAGCUAAUACCGGAUAAUAUAUUGAACCGCAUGGUUCAAUAGUGAAAGACGGUUUUGCUGUCACUUAUAGAUGGAUCCGCGCCGCAUUAGCUAGUUGGUAAGGUAACGGCUUACCAAGGCGACGAUGCGUAGCCGACCUGAGAGGGUGAUCGGCCACACUGGAACUGAGACACGGUCCAGACUCCUACGGGAGGCAGCAGUAGGGAAUCUUCCGCAAUGGGCGAAAGCCUGACGGAGCAACGCCGCGUGAGUGAUGAAGGUCUUCGGAUCGUAAAACUCUGUUAUUAGGGAAGAACAAAUGUGUAAGUAACUAUGCACGUCUUGACGGUACCUAAUCAGAAAGCCACGGCUAACUACGUG
rnacentral:rRNA from 1 species